UUGAUUCUCAGAGAAGUAAGGAGAAGAGUUGUCAUCUACCCUGGAUUUCUGAAGGGCAGCCUUUGGGCUGCCUAGAAAACUAGU
rnacentral:miRNA from 12 species